rnacentral:rRNA from 1 species
UCCGUAGGAUCCAAGCGUUGUCCGGAUUUACUGGGGGUAAAGGGUGCGCAGGCGGACUUGUUAGUCAGAGGUGAAAUCUCACGGCUCAACCGUGAAACUGCCUUUGAUACUGCAGGUCUUGAAUUGGGGAGAGAGUUGUGGAAUUCCGAGUGUAGCAGUGAAAUGUGUAGAUAUUCGGAAGAACACCAGUGGCGAAGGCAGCAACUUGGCCCUAUAUUGACGCUCAGGCACGAAAGCAUGGGGAUCAAACAGG